GUGGGAAUGAUGAAUUUUUGCUGCCUGGCCUCCUUCUGGGUGUGUGGAGCUUUCCAGAUGAGCCGCAUCACUCCACAGGCAGGGAGAAACUCAGCAUUGUCCUGUGCCAAAUGUCAUCAUGGACUCAGCUUACUCUGAAGCCAGACUGAAGCCUGUCACUAUAUGAAACAGCACAGCACAGACUCGCUGCCCUUUUCAAGGUCCAGGAUCAGAGAGCUCUCCAUGAAAUCUGUGCUACAUCUCAUUUUUUCCCAAGGAAAACUGCUGUUGGUUGACUCUGGAGCUGAGCUUUUAGCAAACAGGCC